rnacentral:lncRNA from 1 species
UGAAAUAUGAUCUGAGGCUCCUGAAUCCAAGAUCCAAUGCCUCUUAUUAUCUAUCCAAUUAACUGAAUUCGCUUGUUUCAAAUUCUAAUUUUUUAGUAAUUUAUUUCCUAAUUCAGAAUUAGAAUAUAAAAAAUCAAUAAGCAAUUUCAUAUCAGUGGGUGCCUUAGCACCAAACAUGGUCUGCAAAAUCUUUAUUUGAUCAUCAGUAAAACCCACUUCCACCUUUGUUGCAGCAUUGACUUCUCCGAUCUUCCCUUUAUCUUUUUCCCCUCUGCCAUCUUUAAAUUUGUAGGAAGUUGGAUAUCCAUACAGCUUGUAGCAAGUAUCCUUCACAAGACCAUGCCUCUCGCAGUUAUCAC